GAUGAACGCUGGCGGCGUGCCUAAUACAUGCAAGUCGAGCGAACAGACGAGGAGCUUGCUCCUCUGACGUUAGCGGCGGACGGGUGAGUAACACGUGGAUAACCUACCUAUAAGACUGGGAUAACUUCGGGAAACCGGAGCUAAUACCGGAUAAUAUAUUGAACCGCAUGGUUCAAUAAUGAAAGACGGUUUUGCUGUGACUUAUAGAUGGAUCCGCGCCGCAUUAGCUAGUUGGUAAGGUAACGGCUUACCAAGGCGACGAUGCGUAGCCGACCUGAGAGGGUGAUCGGCCACACUGGAACUGAGACACGGUCCAGACUCCUACGGGAGGCAGCAGUAGGGAAUCUUCCGCAAUGGGCGAAAGCCUGACGGAGCAACGCCGCGUGAGUGAUGAAGGUCUUCGGAUCGUAAAACUCUGUUAUUAGGGAAGAACAAAUGUGUAAGUAACUAUGCACGUCUUGACGGUACCUAAUCAGAAAGCCACGGCUAACUACGUG
rnacentral:rRNA from 1 species